rnacentral:lncRNA from 1 species
GGUAAUUCACGCAUCCAAAAUUUGUCACUAUUCUUCUAAAAGAUCCAUCUAUGCAUAUUUCACAAACAUAACCAGAUACAUAGAACAAAUUUGGAAUCUCAGAAUCAGAAGGCCUGGAAAAUGACAGUGUUAAAGAAAAAGGGAAAAAUACUGCUUUUAUUAUGUUGAGACUUACUUUUCUCUGGUAGAGGUUCUGGUUUCUCAGGUACAGCCACAGGUUCUGGUAAUUUCUUCUCUGGAACAAUCUUCUUCGGCACCUCAGGUUCUUUAGGUGGUGGAGGUUCUGCUUUUUUAGGAACUUCAACAUGUACUUUUUCUUCUGGAACCACCUUCUUGGGUACCUCAGGCACUUUAGCUGGUGGAGGUUCUGGUUUCUUCGGUACUUCAACUGAAACCUCUUCUUUGACCACUUUCUUUGGUACCUCGGGCACUUUAGCCGGUGGUACUUCUGGCUUUUUAGGCUCAGAAACUUUGAUUUUCUCUUCUAUUUUCUUGUGUACUUCAGGCUCUUUA